GCUCCUACCGAUUGAGUGAUCCGGUGAAUUAUUCGGACUGACGCAGUGCUCAGCUUCUGGACGUUGCGUUGGAAAGUUUCAUGAACCUUAUCACUUAGAGGAAGUAAAAGUCGUAACAAGGUUUCUGUAGGUGAACCUGCAGAAGGAUCAAGAACGGAAGAGCACACGUCUGAACCCCAGGUACGUGGCCUUAACUCGUACGCCGGCUUCCGGCUGAAAAAAAAAAAACAAACCUACCGCAAUCAGUGUUCCUGCCACUUGACGAUAGUAAUCUGAC
rnacentral:misc_RNA from 1 species